GGGCUCUUAAGACACCCACCCGCCAUCCUGCUCCUAGGCUCUUGCCCUUCCUAGCUGGCCUUCCAACAAGUCAAGCCCCAGUUGGUGAAGACAACUCAGCCCCUAAACAGCUUGCUGUGGGUGGGAAGCAGGGCUGCUGGCCCAGUGAGGAAGUGUUGUCUCUUCUUCUAAGAACCACCGUGUUCCUCCGCCACUAGGAGUACAUAACGGGACCUCACCGGCUGCCUGGUGCCAAAGGGAUGAAGUGUUCCAUCCACCUGCAGCCAAGGGCAACCUUCUGGCCACGCUGAGGAGACCUGUGCUCUCCCAGCUGCAGGGGACACGUCCCACAGUCCCCUAUGUGGC